rnacentral:sRNA from 1 species
AAGCGAGAGGCAACAACAAAUUGAUUAGCUCCGCAGUCAUGGUUGUUGUUGUUGCACAUUUAGCUGGUUGACGCCUGGCACGACCGAAGGCAAACGGCGAAACCCUUUGACAACAUAAUUACAUAAUUAGCUACCAAUGAGCGGAGCGUAGUUUGGACCAUGGUCAACCAGAGAGAGAGAGAGAGAGGGAGAGCGAGAGCAACCCCUGGCUACUUCCCUCGUCAGCUGUUUGAGCCGGGCCCAGCAAGGAGCCAGAAGCCGAGGGAAAAGAUGAUUGAAUGACUCCAGGACGAACGCAGUGCAGUGCAGUGCAGUGCAGGGAAAGGUGAAUGGCAGGAUCCUAGGAUGCCUUGGGAGGAGGAUCAUCUGUCAAGCGCAUUUAGCUAAAAUGCAUUAAAACCAGAGAAAAGCAGGACAAUGCCCCGAACAGCUCCGAACCGAACCGAUCCGAGUAGAGCCCAAAGAUCAAUAAGAGGACACUUUGGCUAAGCGGCUUACACAACGACAAGGACAACGACAUCGACUCGGAAGUGCCUAAUGCAUCAUGUUGCAUCUACAUGCUGAAGACAUGCAAACAGAAGGAGGGACAAUGGCCUCGGGAAGGGAAAAGAACAAUGCGGCUAACCGUGCGCAAGCGGCUCAGCGGAGAUAACGGCGGCAAAAAGGACAUGGGAAAAAAGUAAUCCCAGCAAGGACAACAAGGACAACGGUACAACGACAACACACAACCUGUGGCAAUGUCACCGACAUCAAGUAGCUGCAGGAGGAUUGAUUACCCAGCCGAUUAAGAGCCGAUUACCAGUGACAUUGGUUCCCAUGAAUGAAUCUCCGUAGCACACCAUAGCCCUGAAUGGAUGUCGCUCCUGCGGCAAAAGAUCAUAGAAUCCUAUGGGACGAGGGGGGAGGCACUGAAGCUGGUUCAGGUGUCACAGCCACAGAUUCCCAGCCUCUCUAAUCCCGCCACAAGCAGAAUAACCAAAGCGAAAUCCCAACCCCUUUGGCUGAAACCAUCUAUGGGUCUUUAAGUUAUUCCAAGCAGCUUUUCAAAAGGAGGCCCAUGUGCAUCUGUGCACCAAAAAUCAAAGCCAAUCUGCAGCCUCUCGAAGAUGAUAUUGACAUUAGCCCAUGGCUUAUCUUUUUUGAAUGCAAAUGGAACCACAUUGAUGAUGUAUCUAAAAGCGAGAGUUUUCCUUGGACCAGUAUAUCUUUUAAUGGAGGAGUUUCCCAAGCGAAUACUUAUCUAUAUCAUAUAAAGAGAGCUACAUGGGAACCACCGAUUUGUAGAAGAAUGAAGAGAAAUCAUAUCCUUGGAUCCAGGUCUUACGCGAGGAUUUGCAUCCAUCUGUUGGAUCAUGGAAUCCCAUUAUGAACCAGAGGUAAAGAGCUUGGAUCUACUUUGGAUGGAAUUGUAACUAAAUGUGGAUGCAAGAAGAGAGUUCUCCCUCUUUAACUCCUUAAAUGUACCUUGAAUAUCAAAAUAAUAACCUUAAGUAUAGCCACGAUAUCUCCAUCAAAGUCUUAGAGCAAAUCCAUGUAAUACCCUGCCCAAACACAAUACAAAUUCUAUAUAAUUACCAGCACACCUGCAGCUGACUUACGAAGCGCACUGUAUGGUAUCUGUGUGCAAACACUUGCUGCCAUUUAGGGUCAUGUUUCCCUUACAAACCAUUAGGUCCAUUCAUUUCAACUCCUUUCAAGAUGCUCCCUCCCUUGGCCAAGGACAAUUCCAUUCAUAUUAGCCUAGUUAGCAGGCCUCUCUCUCCCGGCUGUCA